GUGGGGAAUAUUGGGCAAUGGGCGAAAGCCUGACCCAGCAACGCCGCGUGAAGGAAGAAGGUCUUCGGAUCGUAAACUUCUAUCCUUGGUGAAGAUAAUGACGGUAGCCGAGAAGGAAGCCCCGGCUAACUACGUGCCAGCAGCCGCGGUAAUACGUAGGGGGCAAGUGUUGUCCGGAAUGAUUGGGCGUAAAGGGCGCGUAGGCGGCCUGGUAAGUCUGGAGUGAAAGUCCUGCUUUUAAGGUGGGAAUUGCUUUGGAUACUGUCGGGCUUGAGUGCAGGAGAGGUAAGUGGAAUUCCCGGUGUAGCGGUGAAAUGCGUAGAGAUCGGGAGGAACACCAGUGGCGAAGGCGACUUACUGGACUGUAACUGACGCUGAGGCGCGAAAGUGUGGGGAGCAAACAGGAUUAGAUACCCCUGUAGUCC
rnacentral:rRNA from 1 species